GCAGCUGGGACUGCAGGCGCCCGCCACCACGCCCGGCUUUUUUUUGUGUGUGUUUAGUAGAGACGGGGUUUCACCGUGUUAGCCAGGAUGGUGUCGAUCUCCUGACCUCGUGAUCCGCCCGCCUCGGCCUCCCAAAGUGCGGGAUUACAGGCGUGAGCCACCGUGCCCGGCCAAAAAUGGUAUCUUACUUCAAUUUGCAGUUCCCCAUUCACUCAACUGAGGGUCAGAAUGCCACUUUCUUUCUAAUUUCCAUAUUGGAUUUGGUGAAGAUUUUCCAGCUCCUAAGGCCUGAUUGUUCCUAGUAGACAGAGUUCAAUACACGUUUGGUGAAAAAAUAGUGUUUCAAUCUAGAUGAAAUGGAUGAAUUCCUGGACACAUACCCCCUUCCCAAGACAAAACCAGGAAGAAGUUGAAUCCCUGAAUAGAUGAAUAACAGGCUCCAAAAUUGAGGCAAUCAUUAAUAGCCUACCAACCAAAAAAAGUCCAGCACCAGAUGGAUUCACAGUCGAAUUCUACCAGAGGUACAAGGAGGAGCUGGUACCAUUCCUUCUGAAACGAUUCCAAUCAAUAGAAAAAGAGGGAAUCCUCCCUAACUGAUUUUAUGAGGCCAACAUCAUCCUGAUACCAAAGCCUGACAGAGACACAACAAAAAAAGAGAAUUUUAGACCAAUAUCCCUGAUGAACAUCCAUGCAAAAAUCCUCAAUAAAAUACUGGCAAACCGAAUCCAGCAGCACAUCAAAAAGCUUAUCCACCAUGUUCAAGUGGGCUUCAUCCCUGGGAUGCAAUGCUGGUUCAACAUAUGAAAAUCAAUAAAUGUAAUCCAGCAUAUAAACAGAACCAAAGACAAAAACCAGAUGAUUAUCUCAAUAGAUGCAGAAAAGGCCUUUGACAAAAUUCAACAACCCUUCAUGCUACAAACUCUCAAUAAAUUAGGUAUCGAUGGGACAUAUCUCCAAAUAAUAAGACAUCUUUAUGACAAACCCACAGCCAAUAUCAUACUGAAUGGGCAAAAACUGGAAGCAUUCCCUUUGAAAACUGGCAGAAGACAGGGAUGCCCUCUCUCACCACUCCUAUUCAACAUAGUGUUGGAAGUUCUGGCUAGGGCAAUCAGGCAGGAGAAAGAAAUAAAGGGUAUUCAAUUAGGAAAAGAGGAAGUCAAAAUGUCCCUGUUUGCAGAUGACAUGAUUGUAUACUUAGAAAACCCCAUCAUCUCAGCCCAAAAUCUCCUUAAGCUGAUAAGCAACUUCAGCAAAGUCUCAGGAUACAAAAUCAAUGUGCAAAAAUCACAAGCAUUCUUGUACACCAAUAACAGACAAACAGAGAGCCAAAUCAUGAGUGAAUGCCCAUUCAUAAUUGCUUCAAAAAGAAUAAAAUACCUAGGAAUCCAACUUACAAGGGAUGUGAAGGACCUCUUCAAGGAGAACUACAAACCACUGCUCAACGAAAUAAAAGAGGACACAAACAAAUGGAAGAGCAUUCCAUGCUCAUGGAUGGGAAGAAUCAAUAUCAUGAAAAUAGUCAUACUGCCCAAGGUAAUUUAUCGAUUCAAUGCCAUCACCAUCAAGCUACCAAUGACUUUCUUCACAGAAUUGGAAAAAGCUACUUUAAAGUUCAUAUAGAACCAAAAAAGAGCCCACACUGCGAAGACAAUCCUAAGCCAAAAGAACAAAGCUGGAGGCAUCACACUACCUGACUUCAAACUAUACUACAAGGCUACAGUAACCAAAGCAGCAUGGUACUGGUACCAAAACAGAGAUAUAGACCAAUGGAACAGAACAGAGCCCUCAGAAAUAAUACCACACAUCUGCAACCAUCUGAUCUUUGACAAACGUGACAAAAACAAGCAAUGGGGAAAGGAUUCCCUAUUUAAUAAAUGGUGCUGGGAAAACUGGGUAGCCACAUGUAGAAAGCUGAAACUGGAUCCCUUCCUUACACCUUAUACAAAAAUUAAUUCAAGAUGGAUUAAAGACUUAAAUGUUAGACCUAAAACCAUGAAAACCCUAGAAGAAAACCUAGGCAAUACCAUUCAGGACAUAGGCAUAGGCAGGGACUUCAUGUCUGAAACACCAAAAGCAAUGGCAACAAAAGCCAAAAUUGACAAAUGGGAUCUAAUUAAACUAAAGAGCUUCUGCACAGCAAAAGAAACUACCAUCAGAGUGAACAGGCAACCUACAGAAUGAGAGAAAAUUUUUGCAAUCUACUCAUCUGACAAAGGGCUAAUAUCCAGAAUCUACAAAGAACUCAAACAAAUUUACAAGAAAAAAACAAUCCCAUCAACAAGUUUACAAAGGAUAUGAACAGACAUUUCUCAAAAGAAGACAUUUAUGCAGCCAACAGACAAAUGAAAAAAUGCUCAUCAUCACUGGCCAUCAGAGAAAUGCAAAUCAAAACCACAAUGAGAUAGCAUCUCACACCAGUUAGAAUGGUGAUCAUUAAAAUGUCAGGAAACAACAGGUGCUGGAGAGGGUGUGGAAUAAUAGGAACACUUUUACACUGUUGGUGGGACUGUAAACUAGUUCAACCAUUGUGGAAGACAAUGUGGCGAUUCCUCAAGGAUCUAGAACUAGAAAUACCAUUUGACCCAGCCAUCCCAUUACUGGAUAUAUACCCAAAGGAUUAUAAAUCAUGCUGCUAUAAAGACACAUGCACAUGUAUGUUUAUUGCGGCUCUAUUCACACUAACAAAGACUUGGAACCAACCCAAAUGUCCAUCAAUGAUAGACUGGAUUAAGAAAAUGUGACACAUAUACACCAGGGAAUACUAUGCAGCCAUAAAAAAGGAUGAGUUCAUGUCCUUUGUAGGGACAUGGAUGAAGCUGGAAACCAUCAUUCUGAGCAAACUAUCACAAGGACAGAAAACCAAACACCGCAUGUUCUCACUCAUAGGUGGGAAUUGAACAGUGAGAACACUUGGACACAGGAAGA